UUAAAACGAUGUUUUGAAUGUAGUAACAUGCCUUAGAGAAUUUUCUCAAUUCCUUACAAGAUAUGCACUCAAUUUUCACUCAGAUUUUCUGACUACACACCCUACACUAGGUACAUGUGAGAAGAUUGAUGUAAACAUGAAAACUAGUACUCACAUUUAUGUAUAACAAGAAAGCAUUUUCUGGUAUUAAUAAGCAUGUUUAGAUAUGAUCUCAUAAAUGGAAUGCUACUACUUAGAUGCGAGAUCCAGUGACACCAUAUGCUCAUACCAAAUUCAAACUCCACAAAUUGAAACACAUAACACUCAAGAUAGAAGUCAAGGGUUGUAACGGGGCUUGGGGGUAAUGGCUAACAAAGAAAGGAUAGGGAUAAUAAACGUUUUGAAAGCAAUAACAAGCAAAGUAAUGAAAUAGACGCUUGAAAUAAACGCUUUUAAACACAACGGGAAGAUUCAAGUAACACUUAGGGCUCUUUUUCACAACUUUUCUUCUUUUCAUUCUAUUUUCCACGAAUGUUUUUUUUUCUUUUCUUUUUUUCUUUUUAAUCCUUGCCUUAUUAAGGACUUCGGCGCACACACACACACACAAGAAUCACUUCCCCCACACUUGUUUUUCUGCAAAAGUUCAACAAAAGGAAUUCCUUCUAAAUUAUGUUUUACUAUGCUUCAAGAACAAGGGUAUGAAUGGUCCUAAUAUAGGCUAGGUAAGGAUAGUGUGGGUUAACAAAGAACAUAGGCUACACAAGGCUCAACGGGGUUAAACUUAAACACAUAAUGAAAUAGGGCACGUCAAUUUGGCUGUGGUGGUCACUACACAACUUCAUCUUGAAUAUGUGUUAUGCAAAUCAAUAACAUGCUUUGAAUGAAAUAGGCAUGAGUUCUA
rnacentral:lncRNA from 1 species